GACGAACGCUGGCGGCGUGCUUAACACAUGCAAGUCGAACGAAGUGGCGAACGGGUGAGUAACGCGUAAUCAACCUGCCCUUCAGAGGGGGACAACAGUUGGAAACGACUGCUAAUACCGCAUACUGAAGGAGGGGAUUGCGUCGGAUUAGCUAGUUGGAGGGGGAACGGCCCACCAAGGCGAUGAUCAGUAGCCGGUCUGGGGGGAUGGACGGCCACAUUGGGACUGGGACACGGCCCAGAACCCUACGGGGGGCAGCCAGGGGGAAUCUUCCGAAAUGGACGGAAGGCUGACGGGGCCACGCCGCGUGAGUGAUGACGGCCUUCGGGGUGUAAAGCUCUGUUAAUCGGGACGCGGUACCGGAAUAGAAAGCCACGGCUAACUACGUGCCAGCCGCCGCGGUAAUAC
rnacentral:rRNA from 1 species